UUUACCAAACUUCUUCAGACG
rnacentral:piRNA from 1 species